GAUGAACGCUGGCGGCGUGCAUAACACAUUCAAGUCGAACGGUGAUGAGGACUUCGGUCCUCUGAUCAGUGGCGGACGGGUGAGUAACGCGUGAGCAACCUGCCCUAUAUUGCGGGAUAACAACCGGAAACAGUUGCUAAUACCGCAUGACGUAUUCGGAUCGCAUGUUCUGAAUACCAAAGAAUUUUGAUAUAGGAUGGGCUCGCGUCCGAUUAGGCAGUUGGUGGGUAACGGCCCACCAAACCGACGAUCGGUAGCCGAACUGAGAGGUUGAACGGCCACAUUGGAACUGAGAUACGGUCCAGACUCCUACGGGAGGCAGCAGUGGGGAAUAUUGGGCAAUGGGCGAAAGCCUGACCCAGCGACGCCGCGUGAGGGAAGAAGGUCUUCGGAUUGUAAACCUCUUUCAGCAGGGAAGAAGCAAGUGACGGUACCUGCAGAAGAAGUCACGGCUAACUACGUG
rnacentral:rRNA from 1 species